UAUGGACCAGGUGGAAUCGGACCUGGUGGUGCUGGUACUGGCUAUGGACCAGGUGGAAUCGGACCUGGUGGUGCUGGUACAGGCUAUGGACCAGGAGGUUAUGCUGAUGCAAAAGCCCGCAAAUAUGGGCUUCCUGGUGGUGGAACACUAGGAAGAACAGGAUAUGGACCUGGUGGAUAUGGGCCUGGAGCUGGGACGGGUUACGGACCAGGUGGAGGCUAUGGUACAGGACCAGGGGCUGGAUACGGAACAGGUCAAGGUGGAACAGGUGCUGGUGGGGUACUCGGAGGUGGAGUAGGACGAGGCGGCUAUGGCACAGCUGGAUCUAAAGCUGCUAAGUAUGGGCAACCUGGUGGACUUCUACCUGGGGCAGGAGUAGGAACUGGCACUGCAGGACCUGGCAUAGGGACUGGCA